rnacentral:lncRNA from 1 species
GUUGCUUAAUUUUUACUAUAAUGCCUUUUUUUAGAAUGUGUAUCUUCUGGGCUUCUGGCCACUUUUAUAAAAAUUUUGGCAUUUGUAGGCCAUUGUAUGUUAGUUAGAUAGUAAUUAAUAUUAAAUUGUUAGCAUGGGGGAAUUAUAUAUAAAAAAGGAUAGAAGUAUUUAUUGAGGGAUUACUUGGAGAUUGUCUAAGUUCCACCUGUAGCUCGGGCUAAUGUAAAAAGUUAAAACAACAACCAUUUUAGAACAGAG